rnacentral:rRNA from 1 species
CUACGGGGGGCAGCAUUGGGGAAUUUUGCGCAAUGGGGGAAACCCUGACGCAGCAAUACCGCGUGAGUGAAGAAGGCCUUUGGGUCGUAAAGCUCUUUUCUUGGGGAAGAUAGUGACGGUACCCAAGGAAUAAGCACCGGCUAACUCCGUGCCAGCAGCCGCGGUAAUACGGAGGGUGCAAGCGUUGUUCGGAUUUACUGGGCGUAAAGGGCACGUAGGCGGCACAGCAAGUUAAGGGUGAAAUCCCGGGGCUCAACUCCGGAACUGCUCUUAAAACUGCUGAGCUAGAGAUAGUCAGAGGCGGGUGGAAUUCCAGGUGUAGAGGUGAAAUUCGUAGAUAUCUGGAGGAACACCGGUGGCGAAGGCGGCCCGCUGGGGCUAUUCUGACGCUAAGGUGCGAAAGCGUGGGGAGCAAACGGGAUUAGAUACCCGUGUAGUC